rnacentral:rRNA from 1 species
AGAGUUUGAUCCUGGCUCAGAUUGAACGCUGGCGGCAUGCCUUACACAUGCAAGUCGAACGGUAACAGGCCGCAAGGUGCUGACGAGUGGCGAACGGGUGAGUAAUGCAUCGGAACGUGCCCAGUAGUGGGGGAUAGCUCGGCGAAAGCCGGAUUAAUACCGCAUACGACCUACGGGUGAAAGCGGGGGACCGAAAGGCCUCGCGCUAUUGGAGCGGCCGAUGUCAGAUUAGGUAGUUGGUGGGGUAAAGGCCUACCAAGCCUACGAUCUGUAGCUGGUCUGAGAGGACGACCAGCCACACUGGGACUGAGACACGGCCCAGACUCCUACGGGAGGCAGCAGUGGGGAAUUUUGGACAAUGGGCGCAAGCCUGAUCCAGCCAUGCCGCGUGCGGGAAGAAGGCCUUCGGGUUGUAAACCGCUUUUGUCAGGGAAGAAAUCUUCUGGGUUAAUACCUCGGGAGGAUGACGGUACCUGAAGAAUAAGCACCGGCUAACUACGUGCCAGCAGCCGCGGUAAU